UCAGACACGUGUACUUUUAUACACGUGGCUACUGUGCCACGUGUAUAUUACACGUGUCUAACGUGUGGUAGCGUGUUUUAUGGGACACAUGGCAUAGUGGCAACGUGUAUUCACUGUACACGUGGCAAA